UUAGUCUUGUCUCUUUUUUUUUCUCUCUCCUUUUCUGCUUCAAGGCUUCUUUAUUUAAUUUUCUUGCCCUCUACUCAUUUGAAAGUUUUACAUUCUGUUUUUCUUCUUUUGUUUUGACAAUUUAGAGCUAGUCAGUAUCUUUACCUUCUAUGAAAUAAACAAAGACCUUAGAAGGCCUUAGCUCUUGUCCCACACUCCCCACCCCUCCUGCCUUGUAAACACAAGAAACUUGCUUCCCAGACCACUUAGGACCAUCACUGUUUUACAUAAUCACUGAUUGUUUCUCUAGACCACUUAGGACCAUCAACAUUUUACACAGUCACUGAUUAUUUCUCUUGACCCACAUUCUUUAUUCACUGAUCUUUCUGUCUCACACCUUUCUAAUUUCAGUUUUCUUCAUUCUGAAAUACAUCUUUGUGUUUCUUUGGUGAGAAUUUGUAACUGGGAAAAUACAGGCGUGUGUGUCAGAAAAUGUAUAGAACCCCAGGUUUUCCACUGCGCCUGUUGAAAAGCCUAUUGUUGUGCCUUUUGCUCUUGGAAUUUGAUCAUCUCACUUGCUUAUUUUAAAACACUUGAAUAACCCUCUGCUGUCCUCAGAGUCCAGCUGGUGGAAAAUCAUUGAAAUGUUCUAAUCAGGAGCGCAAGGUGAUCAGAUUCAGCCUUUCCAGGCAUCUCUGACUGUAUGUGACGAAGGGACCGGAAUGGCCAAGGUUGAAGGUAAGAAGGCCAACACCCAGGCAGGCUGUGCUUCCUGUGACUUCAGGAGAGAUGACUGUAGCCUGCACCAGAGUGCCAGUGGUUAUGAGACUGGGCAGAAGGACCGAAUUCAGGAGCCAGGUUUGAGAAAUAAACCCUCUGCAGGGGUUUGUGACUGAUUAGCUCAACGGCAAGCAAGGGAGAGGAAGGAGGCUGGCCCCCAGCUUUCCGGCUCCAGCAGUUGAAGAGGUGUGGUGCUGGGCGUUAAGGAAUACAUGAAGUCUGUUUAGGGGUGAGGGGACACGCUGGUUCAGUUUGGGAUGUAUUGAGUGUUAGGUACCUGGAUGUGCUCCUGGAGAUUUCCCCUAGGAGGUGGGGCGUGCCAGUCUGGAGCCGAGCCACAGGAUCUGAGCUGGAGCUAGAGAUGGCACACCUUCAGCAUCGGAUGGGAAGCGGAGUCCCUGCAGCAGGUGGGGCUCCGGGCAGCAUUCCGAGAUUGAAGGCGACAAGCUGGUCCAGGACAGAGCGCAGGUGAACACUGGCACUUGAGGGUCUGAAGAGCAAGUGGUCAGAGGAGGGGCCUCCUAAGGAGACUGACAAGGAGUGGCCAGAGUGCGAGCAUUAAAACUGGCAGAGGCUGCGGUCAUAAGCCCCAGGAAGAUAGCUCUUCGUGGCAAAGGGUGUGAUCAGCAGGGCUCGGCUGCCUGGAGACAGUAAGGAAGAUAAAAACUGAAAAUGUCCAUCGGAUUUAGCAAAAAGAAGGUGAAGCUCAGUGGCUGUUUUGUUAAGAGUGCUUUCAGUGGUUUGACAGCAGAAGGCAGAUUGCAGCGGAUGAAGAGCCCUACAAAGCUGUCUGGAUUCCAUCACACACCCUGGUGAGAAAUAGAGGUGUUCCCAGGAUUGGGAGGAGCCCGUGCUUCCAGUGGCCCCUUGAUGCCCUCAGCCACCGGCUCAGACUCGCUCCCAUGGCAUACACAUCCAGCCGCAGACUGCAGCAAAAUGGGAGCACUAGAAAAUGCUCCCCAAGAACACCAUCCCGAACAAGACUGCCGAGGGGGCUGGUGCAUGGGUGUGCUGCGUCCAUUUGCUGUAAAUGUUAAAUAAAACAGUAAGUCACACAGAUUUCACAGUAUGGACAUUUAAUAUAAGGAUGGGUUUAAGACUUUAAAAAGUCUUAAACUUUAAAACUUAAAGAAGUCUUAAAAGAUGGGUUUAAGACUUUUGCUACUGUACAAAAAUGAGCCCAUCUGCUUGUAUUACUAAGUUUUGAAUAAUACAGCUAAGGAGCCUCGGUUAAACUGCAGAUCAGCUCGCUGCCUUAGCACCAGGGGGCAGGGUUGGACUUGCUGAGACACUGGAGAGGGGGCUUGUCUAACUGACUUUGCAAAGCUCCCAGCCCAGUGCUGCGUAUUUGCAUUUUAACCAUUUCACUCCUGAUGGAAAUAUGCUCACUACCGAAAAGUCAGUAAUUAAUUUAUCCUGAUUUGCCCACAUAGUUAAACCCCUAACUUCUGUGUUGCCCUUUUCCUGAGGCCCAGAUACAUCUGCUGUUUCUCUAAUGACAGCAGAAUAGACACCUGUUAGCUUCAUCAAGACAUAUUUGCUAAGUCCCGAGGGGGCCAGUUUGUUUCCCUUUAGCAUAUCCCACAUUCACAAAUAAAGUGUCUUUGUGUCAUAUUGUGAAUUUAUAUAAGACUGUUUUGGUCUUCAAGCACUUACAGAACAUUAAUGGAUAAAAGAAGCAGGGGAUGUAGAUAGGAUGCUAAUACCAGUUUUCACUCUGUACAAACUAGUUCUGCAAAUCAGUUUAAAUUGCCCGUCCAAGCUGAAAAAAAGAGGUGGUUGCAUAAGGACAAGGAUUAUAAAGAGAUUAUGGUCUAUUUAAAAUAAAUCCUCAGCCUCUCUCCAACCUCAUUAGCAAUUAGCAAGGAAGUGUAAAGACAGGGAUUCCUUUCUCUUCUUUUGGUUCUCUAUUGCAUUAUAAGAGGUGAGAACACAAUUAGGCAUUCUGUUGCCACCAGAAGUCAACUUCCUUUGAUGCUUGGCAGACUGCCAGUUUCUUUGGCUUUGUACAACCUGCCUCUUGUAGCGUGUGUUUGGUACACCAGGCUAUCUGAUUCUCUUAAAUCUGGACAUCUAGAACGCUUUCUGGCAAUCAAGUGUUUUUUAAAAAACUCAUCUCUUCCUUCUUCCGUAAUACUGGAGAAUGGACCUUUUAGGUGUGAAAAAUGAUAUCUAUUUUUGUUCCUGGCACUAUUGAUGACAGUGUAGUCUUCUCUUAGUUGGCAUUUUCUAAGAUCAUGUUUGAGACACAUCCCUACUUGGAGACUUACAUGGUGACAGCGUGGUGGGGCUCAAUCCUACAGGAAUUCAACUUCUUAGGAAAUAAGAUUGUCUUUUGUGUUGAGUUAUUUUAGAAAGUCUGACACCUUAGAGGCUCCAUUAUCACCCACUCUAAAUGGAAGACAUCCUUUGGCAUCUCUUGGUCCAUAGGGACUUGGUUGUCAUUUACCUGCUAUUUCAGAGAGGCCUGGUGAAACGGUCAUCGUUGUCUGUAAGGGGCUUCUUUGUGCUGUAUCUUCUCUGUCUCACUUAGAACUGGAUGUCAAGAUUCAGAUGAUCCCUACUGCCCAGUGUUUUGGUUGCCAAAGCAAAACUUAGCAUUGAUAAAACCUCAGAUAGGUCCCUUAAGAUUGACUUUCCG